GGUAUGGAAUCCUGCGGCAUCCACGAAACCACCUUCAACUCCAUCAUGAAGUGCGACGUGGACAUCCGUAAAGACCUGUAUGCU